rnacentral:rRNA from 1 species
UACGUAGGGUGCAAGCGUUGUCCGGAAUUAUUGGGCGUAAAGAGCUCGUAGGCGGUCUGUCGCGUCGGCUGUGAAAUCCCGAGGCUCAACCUCGGGUCUGCAGUCGAUACGGGCAAACUAGAGUAUUGCAGGGGAGACUGGAAUUCCUGGUGUAGUGGUGGAAUGCGUAGAUAUCGGGAGGAACACCAGUGGCGAAGGCGGUUACCUGGAGCUUUGCUGACGCUGAUGCGCGAAAGCGUGGGGAGCGAUCCGG